rnacentral:rRNA from 1 species
GGUUGAUCAUGGCUCAGAUUGAACGCUGGCGGGAUGCUUUACACAAAGUCGAACGGCAGCACGGACUUCAGUCUGGUGGCGAGUGGCGAACAGGUGAGUAAUGUAUCGGAACGUGCCUAGUAGCGAGGAUGCUUCGCGGCGUAGCUAAUACCGCAUACGCUGCCCUUCGGGGAAAGCGGGGGACCUUCGGGCCUCGCACUAUUAGAAGCGGCCGAUAUCGGAUUAGCUAGUUGGUGGGGUAACGGCUCACCAAGGCGACGAUCCGUAGCUGGUUUUGAGAAGGACGACCAGCCACACUGGGACUGAGACACGGCCCAGACUCCUACGGGAGGCAGCAGUGGGGAAUUUUGGACAAUGGGGAAACCCUGAUCAAGCCAUCCCGCGUGUGCAUUGAAGGCCUUCAGGUUGUAAAGCACUUUUGGCGGGAAAGCAGCUGCGGGAUAAUACCCGUGCAACUGACAGUACCUGCAGAAUAAGCACCGGCUAACUACGUGCCAGCAGCCGCGGUAAUACGGCGUAAGGUGCAAGCGUUAAUCGGAAUUACUGAAUAAAGCGUGCGCGAGCCGGUUCGGAAAGAAAGAUGUGAAAUCCCGAAACCUUUUGGAACUGCAUUUUUAACUACCGAGCUAGAGUGUGUCAGAGGGAGGUGGAAUUCCGCGUGUAGCAGUGAAAUGCGUAGAUAUGCGGAGGAACACCGAUGGCGAAGGCAGCCUCCUGGGAUAACAUGACGCUCAUGCACGAAAGCGUGAGGGAGCAAACAGAGUUAGAUACCUGUUGGUCCACGCCCUAAACGAUGUCAACUAGCUGUUGGGGCCUUCGGGCCUUGGUGGCGCAGCUAACGCGUGAAGUUGACCGCCUGGGGAGUACGGUCGCAAGAUUAAAACUCAAAGGAAUUGGCGGGGACCCGCACAAGCGGUGGAUGAUGUGGAUUAAUUCGAUGCAGCAUGGACCUUACCUACCCCGCCGACAUGUCUGGAAUCCCGAAGAGAUUUGGGAGUGCUCGCAAGAGAACCGGAACACAGGUGCUGCAUGGCUGUCGUCAGCUCGUCUCGUGAGAUGUUGGGUUAAGUCCAUAACGAGCGCAACCCUUGUCAUUAGUUGCUACGAAGAGACUGCUCUAAUGAGACUGCCGGUGACAAACCGGAGGAAGGUGGGGAUGACGUCAAGUCCUCAUGGCCCUUAUGGGUAGGGCUUCACGUCAUACAAUGGUCGGGACAGAGGGUCGCCAACCCGCGAGGGGAGCCAAUCCCAGAGAACCCGAUCGUAGUCCGGGUCGCAGUCUGCUCGACUGCGUGAAGUCGGAAUCUUCGUAUCGCGGAUCAGCAUGUCGCGGUGGAUACGUUCCCCGGUCUUGUACACACCGCCCGUCUUUGUAAGUGGGUUUACCAGAAGUAGUUAGCCUAACCGUAAGGAGGGCGAUUACCACGGUAGGAUUCAUGACUGGGGUGAAGUCGUAACAAGGUAA